GCCUUCGUGGUGCAGUGGUCAGCACGCUGGGCGUGAAUUCCAUGGUUCGAGUCCCGACGAAGGCG
rnacentral:tRNA from 1 species